rnacentral:misc_RNA from 1 species
UCCGAGUUGUCCCCGGCAGUCCUCUUAGAGUCCCCGGCAUUACCCGCUGGCAACUAAGAUCAAGGGUUGCGCUCGUUGCGGGACUUAACCCAACAUCUCACGACACGAGCUGACGACAACCAUGCACCACCUGUCACUCUGUCCCCCGAAGGGGAACGUCCUGUCUCCAGGAUUGUCAGAGGAUGUCAGGACCUGGUAAGGUUCUUCGCGUUGCUUCGAAUUAAACCACAUGCUCCACCGCUUGUGCGGGCCCCCGUCAAUUCCUUUGAGUUUCAGCCUUGCGGCCGUACUCCCCAGGCGGAGUGCUUAAUGCGUUUGCUGCAGCACUAAAGGGCGGAAACCCUCUAACACUUAGCACUCAUCGUUUACGGCGUGGACUAC